UACGUAGGGGGCAAGCGUUGUCCGGAUUUAUUGGGCGUAAAGCGCGUGUAGGCGGCCAGAUAAGUCCGGUGUGAAAGUCACAGGCUCAACCUGUGAAUGCCGCUGGAAACUGUCUGGCUCGAGUCCGGGAGGGGCGAGUGGAAUUCCUGGUGUAGCAGUGAAAUGCGUAGAGAUCAUGAGGAAGACCAGUGGCGAAGGCGGGUCUCUGGACAGUUCCUGACACUGAGACACGAAGGCCAGGGGAGCAAACAGG
rnacentral:rRNA from 1 species